AAGUCGUAACAAGGUCUCCGUUGGUGAACCAGCGGAGGGAUCAUUACUGAGUACUACACUCUCUACCCUUUGUGAACUAUUAUACCUGUUGCUUCGGCGGCGCCCGCAAGGGUGCCCGCCGGUCUCAUCAGAAUCUCUGUUUUCGAACCCGACGAUACUUCUGAGUGUUCUUAGCGAACUGUCAAAACUUUUAACAACGGAUCUCUUGGCUCCAGCAUCGAUGAAGAACGCAGCGAAACGCGAUAUGUAAUGUGAAUUGCAGAAUUCAGUGAAUCAUCGAAUCUUUGAACGCACAUGGCGCCUUCCAGUAUCCUGGGAGGCAUGCCUGUCCGAGCGUCGUUUCAACCCUCGAGCCCCUGUGGCCCGGCGUUGGGGAUCUGCCACGGCAGGCCCCUAAAACCAGUGGCGGACCCGAAGGGCCCUCUCCUUUGCGCAGUAGCAUUCGCCUCGCAUCGGGAGUCCUCGGCGUCCUGCCUCUAAACCCCCCACAAGCCCGCAUCGGCGGCACCAAGGUUGACCUCGGAUCAGGUAGGAAUACCCGCUGAACUUAA
rnacentral:rRNA from 1 species